rnacentral:miRNA from 1 species
GUCUGAAUCACUGGGGCAUCUUGUUAAAAAUGCAGACUCUGACUUAGCGGGCUUACGAGUCUGCCUUUGUGACAAGCUCCUACUUGAUGUCAUG